GUGGGAGCAAGAGCCCGGAGAUGGAUUCUGAGACACGAAUCCAGGCCCUACGGGGCGCAGCAGGCGCGAAAACUUUACAAUGCAGGAAACUGUGAUAAGGGAACCCCGAGUGCCCGUAUGGACGGGCUGUUCAGGUGCUUAAAAACCACCUGGAGAAAGGGCCGGGCAAGACCGGUGCCAGCCGCCGCGGUAAUACCGGCGGCUCGAGUGGUGGCCACUAUUACUGGGCUUAAAGCGUCCGUAGCUUGGUCGUUAAGCCUCUGGGGAAAUCUUCCGGCUCAACCGGAAGGCGUCUCAGGGGAACUGGCGACCUAGGGAUCGGGAGAGGUGAGAGGUACUCUGGGGGUAGGAGUGAAAUCCUGUAAUCCUCAGGGGACCACCUGUGGCGAAGGCGUCUCACCAGAACGACUCCGACAGUGAGGGACGAAAGCUGGGGGAGCAAACCGGAUUAGAUACCCGGGUAGUCCCAGCCGUAAACUAUGCGCGUUAGGUGAGUAUUGGGAAUUCCUGCAGC
rnacentral:rRNA from 1 species